ACAACCAAGUGAUUCAGUUAUAUUACACACACAGCCACACACACACAUUCAGGUUCUUUUCCAUUAUAGGUUAUUACAAGAUACUGAGCAUGGUUCCCCGCGCUACACAGUAAGUCCUUGUUGCUUUUGCAUCUUAUAUAUGUGUCUGCCUCUUAUUGAGGGGCAGAGGUUUGGUCCCCGUAGUCUGCUUGCUCACCUGCACAGUGCGGGUUGUUUCUCUUGUUCACAGGGAAGGGGAUGGACACUGAAGGUGACCCUUUUUCACCCUGUGAUGGCACAGGCUCCUGGGGUGACAUCCCUGCUGUGCCUUUUCUCUCUCCAGUCUCUUCUUGGCCAUCUCAUGGUUUCCAUGCUGUCCUCUCUGUGGGACUGCCAGAUCUCUAUUGCUAGGUUUUUUGUGUGUGUGUGUGUGUGUGUGUGUGUUGUGUGUGUGUUUGUUUUGUCUUCCUUGUAUUGCACACAUGCCUUUCUAACUGCCUGCUGGGUACACCGGUCCUGCCAGAAACCAGAACUUGGUGUAUGUCGGGCCGAGUUCAGCCUCGUCCCUCUCUAAUCUUCUCUGUGUCCUCACGUUCUGCCAGAGGCUCCCCCCUCUUCCUGGACUGUGGUUUUGUCUGUGGCCUAACCUGCCCUUGGCCUCCCUGGCCCAUCUUCUCCCUCUCACUUAACCAGAUGGUCAUCCCGGUCUCCUAACCAGCCUUCCUGCAGUGCCCCCAACGGUGGCUUGUCACCACAUCCUCCCGAAGCAGAGCUCUGGCUGUGUUGCUGCCCUGCUCAAAAACACAAAGUGGCUAUUACCGCUUUUCAAGAAUAAACUAGAGAAUUCUUAUCUUGGGGUUCAGCGCUAUCUAGGAUCUUAGAUUCCAGCUAUGUUUCUACCUCUUCCCUUACUUAGCACCCCUUGGGAGUAGGGACCAUCUUUGUCAGGUCUUUGUUAUAACCUCUAGCCCGUCAUCCGGCCGUCACAGCUCAGUUUGAUGCUGUUGCAUUAAACUCUCGUUCCUUCCUUCAUGCGUCACAACGUCUCUGCUCAUCGAAAUGGGUCCAAAGCUUUCCAGCCCGGGCACAAACCCCAUCUUCUUCUCUAGCCUUACUGGGUGUAUUGUUCCCCUGGCUUCCCAUCGGAAAUAAGAUGCCUCCCUUUGAACUCCCAUCCAAAAGAAGUGUGGAUAAAACUUGAUCAUACUAUCAUUUCUGGUUAUUUCUUCACCAAGGCACCCUAGGUUUUCGUGGUAGGCUCUGGGUGCUAUUCAGUUCUAUAGCCUUCUCUCCUCCACACCUCCCUCCCCACAGCCUAGCACGGUGUCCUGGACAUUAUAGGUGUUCUGUGAAUUGGAACUCGUUGCUCCGUGAAUUGGAAGUUGUCUGAUGGAUGGCGAUCUUCCUGCGGUGGACUGAGCUUUCUGAAUAUCUGCGAUGUGCUACUAAGGGUUGGUUAACCAUUGGGGCAAAGCUGGCAGUGAGGCGGAACCCAGAAAGUGGGCCCAGGUUCGGGUAUUGCCAAAGCAGAGCCACCUUAGCUUUGGUGCUUUUUCUUUUUUUUUUCUGUCCCCCCCCCUUUUGUCAGUGCCAAGUUUAUCUUAAUUGGCAUCUUUAUCAUGGCAGGAUAGUCCAGGCAGGAGCAAAGGGCUGGGGACGUGCAAACACCACGUGAAGUGAGAUGGCCGGGCCCACACACAAGGCCUUAUUGUACAGGAGCAGGUCUUCACGUGCCACUGCCUGUCUUUGCCCCCUGGGUGACAGUGAGCAGGCUCCAGUGACAGGGGCUCGUAGGAUCCUCCUCCCCUUCCCUGGCCCUCCAGCACCCCCAGAGGGGACCCACCUUCCAAGGAGAAGCAGCCCUUGGGGAAAGGGAGGCAGAGAGAGCUUUGCUGGGAAUGGCAGCAGGGCUGGGGAUGGGGGAACAUUCGCUGGUUCUCCAGUUGGGGUUUUCCUAUGGGUUAAGGGAACCUAGAAGGGGCUGAUGCUGAGGAAAGGGCUCAGACAGGACUCCCCUUUGCCCCUGCUCGCCUGCUGAGGGCAGUGGUAUCACUGCAUCAAUUUCUGUGCCUCACUUCAGUAACUAGGGAGCUCCUUGAGGGUGGGGACCAUGGCCUUUUCUUUUCUAUUCUCCGCCCACCCCCUUAUCUGGCCACCCCACCGCAUAUGGAGUUCCUGGGCCAGGGAUCAGAUCUGAGCUACAGCCGGGAUCCUUAACCCACUGUGCCAGCCGGGAGUCAAACCUAUGUCCCAGCGCUCCAGAAAUCCUGCUGAUCCUAUUAUGCCACAGCAGAAGCGCCUCUUUUCUUUACCCCUGUGCCCAACCUGGCACAAGGUAAUGACCCAUGAUGUGCUCAGUGGGUUGUAGAAGUGCCCCUGAUCCCUGAGACCCAGGGAGGAAUCAGCCUGCUCUAGGCUCCUAGAAAUCUUUACCUCUCCACACUGGGCUUGGCCAGGGAGAGACAGAGCCUGCUGAGUUAGCUGGAAGGAGGCAGAGGGGAUGAUGAGGUAGCCGCAGCCCCAAAGUGCCCACUGGGGAAUUGUCCCUUUGCAUCUAUGCUGUGUGUUCUCUGCAAGAUUCAUGAACCUGGGGCAGGCAUGAGCCAGAUCUGGAGACCAGAGGGUUGAGGGGUUGGGGGGCUGGUGGGGGGAGGGCCUGGCCAGUCCUCCCCCUUUUCCUCCUUUAGAUUUGGCAGGUAAAUUUCCAGGUGUUUGCAGUGAAAAGGUCCAGGGGUUUUCUAGGCACCCAGUGGCAGGUGUGAGUCGAUGACUCCACUUGGGGCCUCCCUGGGGGCAGCUAGCCAGGCUCAGGGCAGGAAGUGUCUGAUUCUGGGUCACUUGGCUGUUCUUGUUGCUGCUGAGAUUGUUCCUAUAGCCAAGAUCUUUGAUCUGGAAAGGAUAGGAGAAGAGCAUCCAGUUCAGCUCCUGACCUUCUGGCAAGAAGAGGGGUAUUAAUAUUCUCAGGUCCAUUUCAUGGGCAGGUAGCUGAGGCCCAGAAUGAUGGACCCACCUUAUAACUUAUAAGUCCUUGAAUGUGGCUCCUUCUGAUCGUUUCUUUUGGUCCUGACCAUGACUCGCUGUGCAUGGUUGGGGAGAGAUCGUGCUUCACUGACAAGGUGCAUUUUCUGUGGGGCGAGGCCAUCCUUGUCACUCGAGGCUUGAGAGGGCCAGCAAGGAUGUCCUUGCUCUAUAUUUGGGGCCUCAUGCAGAGAGGGUGGUAGGAAGACAGGGCGGCCUCUUGAACUUUGGGGUUCCUCUGAGUUGAGACCUUGCCUGGCUGGCCCCAAGAGGCUGUUGGUGGCUUGGGAAGCAAAGUAGGGAUGCCUGGCCUAGCCAGAGCUCCCGAGUUUCCCUCCACCAGCUCCACAUCACAGAAAUGCCUGGACUUCCUGGUCGUAAGAGGGGAGUUUUGGGAGUUCUGUCGUGGCUCAGUGAAAACGAAUCUGACUAGCAUCCAUGAGGAUGCAGGUUUCAUCUCUGGCCUUGCUCAGUGGGUUAAGGAUCCAGCAUUGCCAUGAGCUGUGGUGUAGGUCACAGAUGAGGCUUGGAUCCCACAUUGCUGUGGCUGUGGUGUAGGCUGGCAGCUGCAGCUCUGAUUCAACCCCUAGCCUGGGAACCUCCAUAUGCCAUGGGUGUGGCCCUAAAAAGACCAAAAAAAAAAAAAAAAAAAAAAAAAAAGAAGAAGAAGAAGGUAAUUUUGGAGGACCUGUGUGGCUGAAGCUUUGUUUUGGGGCUGUUUGAGGUCGGGGUAAGAACUUCCUCACCGGUGGCUUAGAGACCCAGCCUUUUGUCUCUCCAUCCUGAGAAACACAUUUUUAAACUUAAAAAAAAGGACUGCAUUUUCUUGGCUGCCAUGGGGGCCAGCCUCGGGCUGUCAUAAGAGCAGUCAGAGACGACCUCUAUUCUCCUGGCCAAGAUAGGGGCGUGUGCCCUGUGGCUGCCCUGUCCUUUCUCAUAAGAUAACUAAUAUCCCCACGAAACUCAGAUUGUUUCUGCUUUUUUUCUGCUCCAUUUUCUCUUUGUGGGAAAAUUGAAGCAAAAUGUUGUUUGUGCUUAUUUGCUUUGUCCUCUCAUUUUCAGGUUUCUUCCUCCUCUCCCGUAUCCCCGACACCUGCCCUAAUAAGGUGGAGUUAGUGACAAUCGGGGGUGUUAUGGCAUGGUUAAGGGUCCUUAUGGCCUCCUACCUGGCUUCGGAGAGGACAGGCAGUCGACGUUUAAUAAGGAACCUUUCGCCAUAGUCCCAUGUCUCUCCCCCCCGCCCCCCCCCCCCCCCCCCCCCGCAAGCUUAAUCGAAUAGCAGGUAGACGUGAAUUCUCAGUUCCUGGCCUGUGUCUGCUGACUAUGGUCUGAGCCGCUCGGGGGGAGGGGGGGCAGGUGGCCUCAGUUUGGUUAGGGGUUUGGUUGCUACUUCUGCACGUCUUUGUGCCUUUCCCCCUAUCUUAUCUUGCCUUCUUUCUCCUCUUGAUGUUUUUUGCAAGUAUGUGGCUACACCUAGUGUGAUCUGGAUCCUUUCUGCUUCUCCAGCUGGCUGGGUCGGUGUCCUGUGGUUGCGAUCAAGGGUGGACUCCGGUCUCCCAGCCCACUCCCUUUCUCCUUGCUUUUGUCCACUUGGCCGGACAAAGAGAACAAAACUAAAGGGCCACCCCUCCCCCUCUCCUAAACCAGCCCCGCGGUGCUGUUCUGCGCUGAUCUUCUGCAGCCGUUUAAACAAGGGCUCAGAUGCCCCAAAGUCAUGGGGACUGGCUGGGCCCAAGCGCCCCUCCCCACGAGAGCCCCAAACCAGCUAGGACCCCGUCCUUCUGCCUUCCUGCCCCGUGGUGCCCAGUGGGCGGUGGGGCCGAGUGGAGCCUCUGCGGUGGUGCUGCCCAGCAGCUCUGGUACAGUAGAGGAGCAGGAGGGCCGGGGGCCGGGGCAGGUCAGACAGGCCUCUUUUAUUUACAGUACUCUCUUUCACGGCCCCAGUGAAACAGGAGCCCCGAGAGGCUGCAGUGAAAGGGCACUGUGUUUGUGCACCCAGGCCUUCCAGGGCUUGCUACAAAAGUGUUUCUCCUGAUGGUCCGCUGUCUCACAGGAGCUGUGGUUGGGGGUGAAGCCUUGAGGGGGCCCCACCUUCCUCCCCUCACUCUCCUCUCUCCAGAGAGCAGUUUCAUGGAUAGUCAUCAAGUUCCUCGAGCUCCUGGAUCCUCGCAGCUGCCAUUUCCUGACCCCUUCUCCCCACGUGAUCCUUCUGAGCCUCAGUUUGCCCAUCUCUGCAGUGGGGGCACAGAGCAUCUACCUAAGACACAGGGUUGUUGUAAGGAUCGGCUCGCUCAAGAUUCCCUCCUUUCAAACUGACCAGCCGUGGUCCCUUUCUGAGCCUGAGGAGCCACACUGGGGACCCCGCCGAAUCUCUCUUCUCGCCUCCCUGGUUCUUGGGGUUCUUCAUACUUGUCACCCUCCAGUCUGCCUGACAUGAUAAAGGGAAGAGGAGGUUUCCAGAAGAACAUGCAAAGCAUGAAGGUUCGAGGUUGUAGAACAGAGGAAAACACCCCCCAACCACCCCACCCCCAAAUUGCCCUUUAAAAUUAAGAAGAUGAAAAAACCCCUGGUGCCUGCCCAGCCUUGGUAAAUUCUGGAAGGCUGACAAGGCUUCCUUCAUUGACCCGCUGUGGCUUCAGUAGCUGAGUCCAGAUGGGUGUGGAGGCCUCAAGUGUUUCUGCCUUUGCCCUUUAAUUAUAUCUUUGAAACUGUAUUGUCAGAGCCAAAAAUCAGGGCUUAGUGGGGGCACAGAAUGGUUAAAUUCAAGCCUGUUCCAGAGAGCCUCGGGCCAUUGAGAAGCCAUGGGUGGUCCACUGCUGGGGAGGUGGCUGCCCCCAGCUACCGAGGGGCCCUCUGCCUUUCAGCCUUUGUUUUCUGCCCCCUUCCUCCCCUAUUGCUGCUCCCACUGCUGCCCCCGAGGGGACUUCCCCCCACCCCAGCGGGGUCCUUGUCCAUCUUCCGGAGAGGCAGUUAAUAAGCAGCCACGCGUAGAAGGAAGAAGGCGAGCAGAAGCCCAGAUAAGGGUGAUGCACCUUGGUCUCAAGCGUAGAAUUAGAAGGAGCCUCGGAAAGUCUCCUUACCGUGUGCUCAUCCCUCAGGCCACAUUGGCAUUCUGGAAGCAGCCAGAGCCUGGAAAAAGAUUGGAAGGACACCGUAAAGGAAGUUUUCCCUCUUUGUCAGGACUGAUUUCUCUGCUGCCUGGUUUCUCUGAGGGACUCGUCUGUAAGAAAAAUGGAGAAUUUUAUUUCUCCCACUUAACUCACAUCCAUUUUCUGGAUGGUUUAUAGAAAAGACGUCACGCUAGCUCUUUGGGACCAUCCUAUGGUAGGAAUGGUUCUGGAUGGUUCUUGUGUUGUCAAGAGAUACUUUUUCUUUCUGUAUCUCUGUGUGUGGAGUAGUGAUGCUGUCAUUGGUUCAGACAUUGGGCCCUUCGCUGGUUAAACUCUUCAAUGUGGACCCUUAAAAUAUAUAUAUUUGAACUUUUCAAUAAAACAGAUCUAAUUAGAUCUUUGAUAGUCUGAGAUCCUGGUUCAUUCACACAAGCCACCCGGAAAGGUUUACUGUCCAGGUGAGGGCACGGACCACCCCGUGGACUGCGGUGUCCUGUGACGCUUUGGGUACCCAGCUCCUGGAGGCGGCUGGGGGACUUAGGCAGACGAUGGCAAGUGGGUGGUGCCUCCAGAGAACCAUGGCUGCUCAGGAAGUUUCUUUGUGGGCUUGAGCAUGGCUGCUGGUAGUCCACGUGGUGUUUUUCUGUGAAUUAGAAAAGGUGCCCUUUCAUGGGGGGCAGGGCACUCCUACCAGGGCCCGUGACUUGGUGAGCAGGAUGCGGUGGGAUUUGGUACCUGCUUGCCCCUUAAUUGGACCAUUGCACGUGGUCCCCCGCCCAAGGGGGCUUCCAUGGUUGGAGUGAUUUCGAAAUGAAAGCUGUUCUAAUGAGGUGUUUUGAACCAUCGGCGCCUUGGGUGUCUGUGGGUGGGAACAAGAGUUUCCAAAGGUCAAGGCCUCUUGGGGGGUUUCGGGGAGCCCUCAACCAGUCUCGGUGCUGCCUUAGCCCAGGGCCCGCCAGGGCCUUACACCCACCGCACCAGCCUGCAGGCCACCGCGGCUCAACUCCGCAUGAGCCAGGGGCCCCUCUGCCUGUUCUGGCAUCCUUAAAGCUGCCAGAAACGUCAGGUGGGGUUUAUGGCAUCCUUUCAGCAUGACUGUCUCUUGUGACCGAGGCCAAGAAAAACAACAGGAAGGGGUAGGAGGAAUGAAGGACGCCGUGCGCGCAGUCCCGGAAAAGCACAGCAUCUUAUGCAACCGAUUUCUUCGACUUAGAUGUGGAGCUGGGGGAAGGAGACCGGUUAACAAGGCAGGAUUCAGCCCUUUGCAAGAAGAUCCGAUGCCCUUACCCCUUUUCUCGUAGUUCUGCUCCCCAAGGCUGGGUCUUUCAAAAGCAACUACUGGGCAUAGGCCCGGGGGAGAGUUAAACCCUAGGUCCCUUUAACCUGAGCACCCUUGGGUGCUGUGAUGUCAAGGCUCUCUGAAGGGCCCAUGGUCAGUAGACCAAGGCCUGAGAAUAAUUUCCAUUUAACUAAUUAUUAUUCUUACUCCAACAGAUUCGAAAUCUAUUUAACUUUUCAGGGUCCCACAGCCUUUUAAAUGUUUCAAGUGUAUUCUCUCUGAUAGGUUACCUUUUCUCUCCCUGUAGGCUAUAAUUAGUGUCCUUUAGACAAAAUUGGCUUAGAAUUGGAUUUAGAGAAGAUAAGAAUCAAAUUACCAGUAUUUAUCUUGUAAAUUCCAAAAGAUCUACUUAAGACACUGUAUUAAAAAAGGGGGGGGGGAACGUUUAAAAGAAAAGUUUAUUCUAUGAAAAAGUAAAUUCCUCAUAGUCUGAGCAUCCCAGGGCCAUUUUAAUAUUAAAGCUGUGACUUCCUUUGGAGGAACAGAAAAUUGCCUUUUCCCUUGUCUCAGUUUUUAUCUCCUAUUGAGCUUCCGAAAUAUGUUGCCAGGCUUCAGGUGGUGGAGAGCUGAGGUGCUCUGGAUUUUCAUUAAAAUUUGGAGGGUUUGGAUUAUCUAUGAAUUGUGGUUUGUGGUAAGACAUAACCUUCUAAAUAUGCCUGUCUUAAAAUAUACAUGCAUUUUUUUUUUUUAAUCUUGGCAUUUUAAGUUAUUAAGCUGUUGGGAGAUGGGUGAACAGAGGUCUCCUGCACCUUUGCGUGUCCCAGAAUGUCAACAUGCUAGUUUUCCUGUGCUGCCUAGUACAGUGAGUCCCUAGCAGGUUUGAAUAAGAUCAUGUCAAAAAAAUAUGCCCGAAUUUUUAACACUGUUGGCUCUUAAAGGUGCCAGGCACUCAUGGCACAUUCAUAUUGUUCAUUAAGCUGUUCAGCUGUGUUCCCUGUACCUGCAAAUCCUUCCUUUAUUCAAGCCCACUUCUGCUGCUGAACUCAAAACUCUUACCCCUCCAGUGAGGCAGCCUCAGGUUUUGACUGCAGCCCCUGGUUUGUGGCCGAGGUGGCACUUCCCAGGCACUUCUGUGACCGCGUAGGCACUCUCUGCAUGGCCUUCUGCUUUAGCAACAUGAUUGACUGUAGUUUUCCAAAUUGGUUCUGCCUUUUUUUUUUUUUUUUUUUUUGGUUCUUAUGAAGGUGUUGGCUGUCAAAGCACAAACAACCGAUUCCUUUUAGGGGCACAAAAAUGUAUUUUGUCAGCAGUUCCACUUGUAGGUAUGGACCCCAAAGAAUGGAGAGCAGGGACUUAGAUAACUUGUAUACCCAUGUUCAUAGCAGCAUUAUUCAUAAUAACAGAAAGAUAGAAACAACCCAAAUGUCUAUUGACAGAUGAACAAAUCUGAGGUAAAUACAUAGAGUGGAAUAUUAUUCAGCCUUAAAAAAGGAAUGACGUUCUGACACAGACACUUGGUACAGCGUGGAUGACUCUUGAAAACAUUAUUUCAAGUGAAAGAAGCCACAUGUAAAAGGUAAGUCCAGUAGAGUUCCAUUCAUAUGAAGUACCAUGCAUUUGAGAAACAAAUCAAAGAGACAGGGAGCAGGAUAGAGGCUUCUGGGGGCUGGGGAAAUGGGGGCGGGAAUAGGGACUUAGUGUUUAAUGGGUACAGAGUUUCAGCUUGGGGUGAUGGAAAAAUUCUGUGGAUGGAGAGUGGUGGUGGUUGCACAACAGUGUGAAUGCACUUAAUGCCACUGACCUGGUACGCUUAAGAAUGGUUAAAAAUAGUGCAUUUUAUGUUAUGUCUCUUUUACCAAAGAAAAAAUGAUUUUAUGUGAAUUGUGAUACCUGCCAUUUGAGACAAAAUUUCUUGGAAAGCACUUAGCUCAUCAUACUGUUAAACGCCCUUGGCUAAGUGUUAAAGAAACAAUUACCUAAAUAUACAGUCUUGAUUAUCGGCUACCAGACUGGCACCCUUUAACCAUCGUUAUUGUUACUAGCUAGACGGAAUAUUUCCACUAGGUAUUACCUCCCAAGAGGCGUGAUUAUUUGUUGCGGCCCUGUGUUUUUAUUACUCAUCUGAUUCUAGAAAGGUCUCCCCAUUUUUGGCUCUGGAACCUUCUCUCAUGACCUCUUUCCAGAGGGAAGGCCGGGGAAAAUCUUCCUCUGAUUUUUUUUUUUUUUCCCUACGUCAGUAAUUUUAAAAAAUGUCUGUGGUUUUACAACACAGGGAGGUUUCAGUGAGGAAGGAAAUUCAUUCCGGGUUUGCAAACUUUCUGAAAAUUAUGGAAGAGGUGUUUAUGCUUUUCGACUCGGUACCUGUGUGGUCAGGGUUUUAGAAGCUUUCUGUUCCCCCUCUGUGGCGUGCCUUGCCCACCCCAACUGGUUGCAGAUGUAGCCAGAGAUCUUGCGAGCUUCUGAGCAGAAACUUUCAGCUCCUCUUAGUUGGGUUUUUAUGUAAAUGACAAAUUUUCGAAGUCCUAAGGAGAUGCACAGUGAAAAAUCUAUGCCCAAAUGAGUUGGCAUCUUGAGAUGAAAAUAUCAGCUCUGCAAAUGGAAGUUUCCUCUACGCGGUGGUGGUGUGGCAGCCAGCAGCCUUGUUCUGUGCUUCUGAGGCUUUAGUGGCCAGCCAGGGAAGGGACGAGGCUCGCCGUAUAUAUAGUACCAGGCGUGUGGGCGCCUUGGCGCUGAUCUGAAAAAGCUUAACUUUGGCAUUUCUGGGUUUAUUUUAAACCUACAACCUUUAACGCCAGACACAGAGCUUCUUUCCCACUUAAUGUAACCAUACAUUGAUGGCUUUUAAUUAGUGUUGGAUCUUUUUUGGUGUUUUGCAGCUUGGGAUAUAUAAAAAGUCUGACUUAAAUUAAAAAAAAAAAAAAAAAAAAGCAAACUCCAACAUUCUCACGAA